UGGUUCAAUGGUAGAGCGUUCGCCUCAAAUAGCGAAUGUCUUGGGUUCAAAUCCCAG
rnacentral:tRNA from 1 species